rnacentral:tRNA from 3 species
GGAGGGUUGGCUGAGUGGUCGAAAGCGCCUCACUGCUAACGAGGUAGGGUUUAAAAGCUCUCAUGGGUUCGAAUCCCAUACCCUCCG